AGAAGGACUGGGCUAGCUUUCGAAACCACAGCACACUUUGGCAAAGAGGGAAUGCACAACAGAACGGGAGAAACACAAUCAUUUUACGAAUGGCUAUGAAACAGCAGUUGAAAACUCUGAAAUCAUGGAUUCUAGUUAUUAUAAUAAAGAAGUUCCUGCAUAAUUCUUCAUGAACCAUCCUGAAAAACUGUCAGGCACCUUGCUGCAAAAAGUGGCAAAGUGAUGGAAUCAAAUGUAUGCAUUACAGUUCCAGGUAAGAAAUAAGCACUCUCAAAUGCAGAAAUAUUAUAUGUAGUUAAUUAUAUUUUCAGUAAAUCUUUCUUCUCUCAGCAUGCACACUUCUCAAAUCCCAUCAUUUUCUUUUCAGAUAAUAAAGAAAUGAACAUAUUUAUGUUAUCGGAUGCUAUUGAAUGUAGCCAAUUUAUGCUUUGAGUUUAGAGUUUUAGUCUACUGAAGUCUACUGAAGUAAAUUUGCAUAUAUUUUGGAAAUACAUUUUUUGUAUUUGAUAUGUUGAUUGGUAUGAUCGAUAUGUACAUAUUAUUGAUAUGUUUUAUUGUCCUCUGGACUGGGUUUGGUGCCUUUUCUCUGCUUCUUCUGGACCCAGGGGAACAUUAUUUGAAAGCAUCCAGCUAGAUAUUACAAAUUUCAAAUUGAUUUAAAAAGGGAUCUUGGUUAUUUUUAGGAUAUUGUUUUUCUAGAACUAUUUGCUGAUGGCAGUUUUCUUCUAAAUUAGCUUAGAAAAUAUUUCUAAACAAGAUUGUGGCCACUGUCUGCCAAUUUGCGCAAACAAACCCAAUGCACUGAAGCUUCUGAUCCUUUUAUUUUUAAGUACAGUUUAUAACAUUGUAGCCAUUAUUGACAUUCUUGAAGAGCUGGAGGAAAGAAUUCCCCAGCACAGUGCCUUUUGCUAAGCUCUUUUCUUUCUUCCAAAUUUUUAGUAGCUUCCCCACUGCUUGUCAAAAAAAAAGGUCACAGUUCAUGUAGCCAAAGGCUAAUUUUUAAGCCACUUUUAUUAUUUCAUAUACCCCUUGCCUCAGCAAAAUUGUACCAUUCACUAUUCAGCUGAUGAGAUGUACUCAUUUUCUAUUUCCUUUGAUCAUGAUCUUGAUUUCCUCUCUCUCUCUCUCUCUGGUGAGAUCCUGCCUUGAUGGCCCCACUUAACUCAUUGUGAAGCUUCCUCUCACUCCCAGCUCUGAAUUCCCAUUCAUGCUUAUGUGUACCUCUGAUCCCAUAGGCCAUGUGUAGACUCUUUGUUAAGUUCUCUUUCUGGCUUCCUGCUGAGCCUGUUACAGCUUGGCAUUGGGCACCCUGAGCACCUGCAUCAAGUGUCUGCAGUUCUCCCACUUCUUUCUUUUUUUCAUUUCCUCCAUCUUCACCUUAUUUGGUUUCUAUUUUCCAUUUACUUAAGUUUUACAUCUUUAAAUGGGGUCUUAUUUUUAUAUAUAUAAUCUAAUUUUCUAAUUUUUAUUUUGAAAUGGCUUCUCCUGGACAAGUCUCUGGCCUUGUGCAUGUCACUUAGACCUUUUGAGACCAGAAGGACCUUGAGACCGAACAAUAACUUGAGACCCAGGUCACUCUCACCUUAAAGCUAGACUGCACUUGGCCCCGCUUUCUAGAGGAGGAGACUUAAACACCUGCAAAAAUAUCCCACCUAACAUUGCAUUAUUUGAGGCGGUUCCCCAAUCCCUUUUAUGGAACCUUGUUAGGAGAACAGAAGUGCCCUUUUCUAACGAAGUCCCAGCUGGAAUGGAGAAUGUUCAGUCUCUUCAGCUUCAAGCAAUCUGUUCCCACUUCUGUUCAUGGUGAAGAAGACUCUAGACUUCCUUCUUUAGCCUUUUCUGCUCUUUUACUGAGGUCUUCUCAUGGAAUUUAGUCCUAGUCUCUUGAGACAUACCAUGCGGCCAAAUCCAUUCUCUACUUUUGGCAGAGACAUCCCUCCUGGGUCCUCUCCAUUUAGCAUUCUCUCCAUUUUCCUCCCUUCCCUGAACCUAGCAAUUCUCAGCCUUUUCAUGUCUUUGUACCCCUCUUGUGUCUGCCUUGUGCUUUUUAUGGAGAUUGUUAGUCUCAUAUCUAUCUCUUUCUGAUAGACAAGGAGUGUAAACUUCAGCUUCUGAGGAUAGAAGGAGACCUAAAGAAGAAGAGUUUCUCCGGAUCAAAAGAGUGCCCUUCUCUACCUUUGCUUUAAACAGCUCCCUUUUUAUAACCUUAGCCAUUUUCAUGUUUCAGCAUGGGAUGGGUUAAGGUGAAAGCCUGACAUGUCAUAACUAUUCUUGCUCUAUUCAUCUUGUUAUUGCCAACUGAUACCCAGCUAGAAGUCUUGCACUUAGAAGGUGCUCAGUUAACGCUAGAUUCAUAGUCUUGUCUACUUUUUAAAAAUUCCCACAUCUUUGAGUUCCCUCUGUGGCCCAGCGAAUUAAGGAUCUGGCAUAGUCUUUGAGGCGGUGCUGGUUCAGUCCCCGACCAAGUGCAGUUGGUUAAGAAUCCCAUGUUGCUGCAGCUGUGGCACAGGUCUCAGCUGAGCCUCAGUUUUGAUCCCUGGUCUGGGAACUUCCAUAUGCUGCUAGUGCCGCUAAAAAAGAAAAAAAAAAAAAA
rnacentral:lncRNA from 1 species